rnacentral:rRNA from 1 species
ACUCAAAGGAAUUGACGGGGGCCCGCACAAGCGGUGGAGCAUGUGGUUUAAUUCGAUGCAACGCGAAGAACCUUACCUACCCUUGACAUCCCCGGAAUCUUGCAGAGAUGCGAGAGUGCCGAAAGGAACCGGGAGACAGGUGCUGCAUGGCUGUCGUCAGCUCGUGUUGUGAGAUGUUGGGUUAAGUCCCGUAACGAGCGCAACCCUUAUCCUUAGUUGCCAACGCGUAAUGGCGGGGACUCUAAGGAGACUGCUGGUGAUAAACCGGAGGAAGGUGGGGACGACGUCAAGUCAUCAUGGCCUUUAUGGGUAGGGCUACACACGUGCUACAAUGGGGCGUACAGAGGGUUGCCAACCUGCGAAGGGGAGCCAAUCUCAGAAAGCGUCUCGUAGUCCGGAUCGAAGUCUGCAACUCGACUUCGUGAAGUCGGAAUCGCUAGUAAUCGCGAAUCAGAAUGUCGCGGUGAAUACGUUCCCGGGCCUUGCACACACCGCCCGU